rnacentral:lncRNA from 1 species
GGGGAGUGAGACAGGGGAGGGAGAAAUUGAGCCCCGCGGGAAUGGCCCGCUGCCCGUUCAUCCUGAGGCCCUAUCUGUACCCAUAAAGCGGAGGAAGGCUGCCCCACCUAAACCUCCCGAAGCAGCACCAUCAACUUGGAACCAAGUGUUCAAAUGCCAGGAACCUGAGAGGACAUUUCCCACUCAAACCGUGAUGGUUACCAUCCUAUUGGAGAAACCUGUCAGCCUAAAACUGCUGCUACCAGGGAGUCCUCAGGAUCUUCAUGCAAGCACCUCACCAAUUGAGCCUUCAGCCACUGCAAUUUGGCCUGCAGCCGUGUCUAU